rnacentral:lncRNA from 1 species
AUAUUUUUGAAGAUAAAUCUGAAAACAGAGGGUCAAAAUACAAUUUAAAAAAGUUACUCUACGUCAGUUGCCUAGUCAGCAACCCCGACCAACCAAGACACACCAGGUGGCAGAGACGCUAAUGCGGGGGGAGCCACGUGGGCGAUCCGUGUGCACGCGAUGGAACGGUUGAGAUCCAUUCCCGCGCACACGGACGGCCCAGAUCAAAAACUCGCACGGACGGCCUAGAUUGCAUCGCGCACGGACAACCCAAAUUGAAUCGCGAUGAAAGGUCCAGAUUCACUCCCAAUUUAAUGACGAUCAGACGGUCCAGAUUAAAUACGAUGGACGACCCAAAUCAAAAACAGAUGAGUAUAAAUAAUCUCGUCCUCACCCAAACCCUAAGCCUAGCCUCCAGAGCCCCUCGCCAGAGAAGACAGCCCAGCCACUAGGGAGCAGACUACCGCCACCGCACCGAAGCAAUUUUUGGCCGCCAAAC